AUACGUAGGGUGCAAGCGUUAAUCGGAAUUACUGGGCGUAAAGCGUGCGCAGGCGGUUUUGUAAGACAGAAGUGAAAUCCCCGGGCUCAACCUGGGGACUGCCUUUGUGACUGCCAGGCUAGAGUAUGGCAGAGGGGGGUGGAAUUCCGCGGUGAGCAGUGAAAAGCGUAGAUAUGCGGAGGAACACCGAUGGCGAAGGCAAUCCCCUGGGCCUGUACUGACGCUCAUGCACGAAAGCGUGGGGAGCAAACAGGAUUAGAUACCCUGGUAGUCCACGCCCUAAACGAUGUCAACUGGUUGUUGGGUCUUCAUUGACUCAGUAACGAAGCUAACGCGUGAAGUUGACCGCCUGGGGAGUACGGCCGCAAGGUUGAAACUCAAAUGAAUUGACGGGG
rnacentral:rRNA from 1 species